rnacentral:rRNA from 1 species
GUACACGCUGUGAUUAGCAUAUCAAUAAGCGGAGGAAAAGAAACUAACAAGGAUUCCCCUAGUAACGGCGAGUGAAGCGGGAAGAGCUCAAAUUUGAAAUCUUAAGGGUUUCCCUUUACGAAUUGUAGUUUAAAGAAGUGUUUUCUGUUGAGGUUUUGGUAAAAGUUCUUUGGAAUAGGACAUCAUAGAGGGUGAGAAUCCCGUAUUUGACCUUUACUUUCAACUUUGUGAUACACUUUCAAAGAGUCGGAUUGUUUGGGAAUGCAGUCCAAAAUGGGUGGUAAAUUUCAUCUAAAGCUAAAUAUUGGCGAGAGACCGAUAGCGAACAAGUACCGUGAGGGAAAGAUGAAAAGAACUUUGAAAAGAGAGUUAAACAGUACGUGAAAUUGUCAAAAGGGAAGCGUUUGACACCAGUGUUGUUUUUCUGAAAAUCAAUUAAAGAACUGUUUAUGCUAAGCUGUUUAGACUUUAUCAGCUAAUCUGUUUAGUUUUGAGCUUUUCUUUAAUGCACUUUUCAGUUAACAAGUCAACAUCAAUUUCUUUUGCUGUAAAAAAGCUUGAGGAAGGUGGCUUGAGAUUCGUCUUAAGUGUUUAUAGCCUCUUGCCUAUGCAGUCGGAGAGAUUGAGGUCUGCAGCGUAGAUCCUUCGGGGCUAAAUGCAUUUGUGCUAAGUUAUAGCAUUUUAUAGACAACUUGUUGACUAUGAUUUGUCUUGUAGCUUACUCGCUUAUGUUAUUUUACCUACGCUUAGGAUGUUGACAGCAGUAUAGACUGU